GACGAACGCUGGCGGCGUGCCUAAUACAUGCAAGUCGAACGCACUCUCGUUUAGAUUGAAGGAGUUUGCUCCUGAUUGAUAAACAUUUGAGUGAGUGGCGGACGGGUGAGUAACACGUGGGUAACCUGCCCUAAAGUGGGGGAUAACAUUUGGAAACAGAUGCUAAUACCGCAUAAAACCUAACACCGCAUGGUGUAGGGUUGAAAGAUGGUUUCGGCUAUCACUUUAGGAUGGACCCGCGGUGCAUUAGUUAGUUGGUGGGGUAAAGGCUCACCAAGACCGGGAUGGAUAGCCGACCUGAGAGGGUGAUCGGCCACACUGGGACUGAGACACGGCCCAGACGCCUAAGGGAGGCAGCAGUAGGGAAUCUUCCACAAUGGACGAAAGUCUGAUGGAGCAACGCCGCGUGAGUGAAGAAGGUUUUCGGAUCGUAAAACUCUGUUGUUGGAGAAGAAUGUAUCUGAUAGUAACUGAUCAGGUAGUGACGGUAUCCAACCAGAAAGCCACGGCUAACUACGUG
rnacentral:rRNA from 1 species